GAGGAAAGGUAGUACAUUCUCUAAUAUUAGACAAUUUGAUCAUCACAAAAAUAAUAACGGUUCUUAAAUGAACAACUUUUGCUUUUGACAGGGAUUUCCCUUCUUGUUUCAACAUAUUCGUGAUGGCAUCAAUAUAAGACAAACUUGUAAUCUGAUUUUCAGCCUGUGUCGAUACAAUAAUCGACUUGCAGAACAUAUUGUAUCUAUGCUUUUCACAUCAAUAGCAAA
rnacentral:ncRNA from 2 species